UCCUUGGUGGUCUAGCGGCUAAGACUCUGCGCUCCCAGUACAAGGAGCCUGGGUUUGAUCCCCAGUCAGGGAA
rnacentral:tRNA from 1 species